CGCUGUUUUCACUCAAAGCCGCGUGGGCAUCCCACACCUUCCACCUGCGCCCCCAGCCCCCAGUCCAAUAGCACCCAGGCCGUGACUGACCCAGACCCCACGUCCUGACCUGCUUUCCUCUGACAUACCAAAGCCGGCGGCUGCAUCCUCCCACCACGCCCCACCCAGGGGCCCCAGCCUGUGAGGUCUAGGCUCCGUACCUCUCUCCACCCUCCUCGGACACCAGACGGGCAGCUCCGCCGGCAACAUCCUCCCCUCCCUGCAGCCCAGGUCCUGCGUGGCUCCCACUGGCCCAGCCCAGCUCCCUACCCCCCCAGGCCCGCUGGCCCAGCCAGACAAAACCACCCACUCACACCAGGACGGCUCUGGCAGCACUCGGGCCUCUCGGGCACUCUGAGACCUGCUGGACAGGCUGCCACAGCACCGGAGGCCCCCGAAGGGGCCAUCCUGGAACCACAGAAGGGGACGAUGCAGCCACUUUCUGAUCCACAAAGAUGCCACGCAGGCCUGUCCGUCUGCCCUGUGAAUGCCAACCAGGCAGAGACACACACACAGCUGAGGCUGGGCCAGAUCCCAGAGCAGACCCCUGGUUGCCAUUGGAAAGAGCCCGACACGAGGGAUGGCCCUAUAAAAAUGUUUGGCCCCAGAGAACUGCAAGCCGGAACGGAACAGGUCCCGGUACACCCGUGCUCACAGCAUCAUUCAUUCACCAGGGCCAGAGAGGGGAUGUGACGUCUCCUUACAGUGGGAGAGACUGUUUCCACAAACCGUCUGCAGGUGCAGACGGCAGAAUACGAUGAAAACGUGAAAAGGGAGAAAUCUGACACCCGCUCCUGCAUGGAGGAACCUUGAUGACACGACGCUGAAAGAAGCCAGACACAGGACGCACAUGCAGGACUCCACUUACGUGAGGUCCCUGGGGUUCAGAGACAGAAAGGAUGGCGGGCACCGGGGCGCUGGAGGGGGGCAGUGGGGAGGGGCUGUU